rnacentral:rRNA from 1 species
UACAGAGGGGGCAAGCGUUAUUCGGAUUUACUGGGCGUAAAGGGCGCGUAGGCGGUCAGCACAAGUCGGUUGUGAAAUCUCCGGGCUUAACUCGGAAAGGUCAACUGAUACUGUGCGACUAGAGUGCAGAAGGGGCAACUGGAAUUCUCGGUGUAGCGGUGAAAUGCGCAGAUAUCAGGAGGAACACCAAUGGCGAAGGCAGCUCGCUGGGACGUGACUGACGCUGAGACGCGAAAAGCGUGGGGGAGCAAACAGG